rnacentral:lncRNA from 10 species
UUUUUAAAUUGAGAAUGCAACAGUGAAGGAUUUCAAGCUUGGAGUGAGAGGGGAGACUACGAGCCUGCAGUGAUAAGGCAAAGCUGAAGAUUUCAGAGCCAAGGCCACACCCUACAGUUGCCAUGGAAUGGGGUGGCACAGUGGGCUUUGGAGGUAAAGUCUGCAGUUGAGAAGUUCAAGGGUAGUAAGUACUUAAUGCCAGGUCAAUCAUCCCUUUUAAGACACAGAUAUCAUCUGCAGCGUUUUCAGGAACAGCGAUAGAGAAGAAAAGCGGGCAGCUACUAGAUAUUCAAAUCUUCCACAAAUGUCAGGGAGAGAGUCAGGCAGUUGGUAGAAGAGACCUGUAAAGCUGGGUACCAUAAGCCUCAACACAGGUGUUUUUAUUUCAAGGCUGGGGAGCUGUGCUUUGGAAAAGCAAUGAGGAGUGGUGGAGCAAGAAGAGUGAUCCCAUUUAGGCAAGGAAUCCCUGACCCUUAUCUGGCUCAGCUUAACCUGGGAGGGCACAGUCAUCACAUCAGCUGGAGGAAAGAAUGAACAUGGAUUGGAAGAGCCUGCUGGUGUUGCAGAACAACAAUCCGGAAAGCCCUUGGAGGAGGGAGGAGACUGUCAUUCACCAGCAAACCCCUGCCCCCUCACUUUUUCUUUUUUGUAAUUGGAAGUUCAGGUUGAACUGCUCUGUAGUUAUUCACCCACUUCUGCUGGUCAAAGGCCCAUGAGGAUUUAAAUGACUAAAUAGGCCAUAAAAUGCCAACCUUUUAGACGUCUAAAAAGUGUCUGCUGGAUCAAACAGUCAUCACGAACCACCCUUAGAUUCCUCUGCCACUCACUCUGCUCCCUGUGUCUGGGACACCCUGAGUCCACAGUGACUCUUUGCCAAAGUAUAAAGAAACCACCAUGUACCUUUUCAAAAAUGUCCACUUGUCCUUAAAGUCAUGAAUAAAGGAAGAGAUGGCUUCCAGAUAUGCAACUGGACUUCUGACAGCCAUCAUCCUCUAAAAUUUCCCUGUGUUUUGACUGAAGUUAUCCACCCACUUCUGCUGGUUCCUGGCUCACAUAAACAUUGAGCAAGUAACUUUCCAUUAGACCCAGAGGAUAGACUAGGAUAGAGUUCCGAGUGUCUGAAAAUUCCUGGUCCCCAACAAAACUGUGUUCUGCUCAAUAAUUUAUUUCGUAAGAAGUUAUAAUAAGUCUAGUCAUUAAAUCAAAAGAGAAAAACCUUAAUGAAGUAUAAUAUUGCUUGGUACUUGUUUUUGUCAGUUCCAUUUCUUCAUUAACUUUUUGAUUGGGAAAAUAAAGAUAAUUACACAAAUCUAUUCUCAAAUUUAGCCAUGGAUGAUUUGAUUUCUCUUUCUGUCUCUUCUGUGCCUGUGCAUACACACACACACACACACACACACACACACUCAGAGAACAGAGUUGUCUCUUUCUCUCUCUAUAUAUAUACAGAG